AUUGAACGCUGGCGGCAGGCUUAACACAUGCAAGUCGAGCGCCCCGCAAGGGGAGCGGCAGACGGGUGAGUAACGCGUGGGAACGUGCCCUUUGGUUCGGAACAACUCCGGGAAACUGGAGCUAAUACCGGAUAAGCCCUUACGGGGAAAGAUUUAUCGCCAAAGGAUCGGCCCGCGUCUGAUUAGCUAGUUGGUGAGGUAAUGGCUCACCAAGGCGACGAUCAGUAGCUGGUCUGAGAGGAUGAUCAGCCACACUGGGACUGAGACACGGCCCAGACUCCUACGGGAGGCAGCAGUGGGGAAUAUUGGACAAUGGGCGCAAGCCUGAUCCAGCCAUGCCGCGUGAGUGAUGAAGGCCUUAGGGUUGUAAAGCUCUUUUGUCCGGGAAGAUAAUGACUGUACCGGAAGAAUAAGCCCCGGCUAACUUCGUGCCAGCCGCCGCAGUAAUAC
rnacentral:rRNA from 1 species